UCAUGUUUACGUUUCUGUUCCUUUUCUUCCACUUCGGGAUCAGGAAUCAGCACCUUUUUUGCUUUGAUCGGCACUAGUUUUGGAAAUAGCAUGGCCACAACAUGGGCUGGCACCUUUACUGGAUAUUGUAUCAACUCAUGAAGUAAAGGUAUAGAAAAUCGCCGCACGGUGGAAGCUUGAGGAACCUGCUUGUGCUUAUGAGGAUUCCUAUGGCUGGAACUGCCAGAAUAGCCUAGUCCGGCUGUUCCAAUUUGAC
rnacentral:lncRNA from 1 species